rnacentral:rRNA from 1 species
UAGGGAAUAUUGCACAAUGGGGGAAACCCUGAUGCAGCGACGCCGCGUGAAGGAAGAAGUAUCUCGGUAUGUAAACUUCUAUCAGCAGGGAAGACAAUGACGGUACCUGACUAAGCAAGCCCCGGCUAACUACGUGCCAGCAGCCGCGGGUAAUACGUAGGGGGCAAGCGUUAUCCGGAUUUACUGGGUGUAAAGGGAGCGUAGACGGAUGUGCAAGUCUGAAGUGAAAGCCCGGGGCUCAACCCCGGGACUGCUUUGGAAAACUGUGUAUCUAGAGUGCCGGAGAGGUAAGCGGAAUUCCCAGUGUAGCGGUGAAAUGCGUAGAUAUUGGGAGGAACACCAGUGGCGAAGGCGGCUUACUGGACGGAUAACGUGACGUUGAGGCUUCGAAAAGCCGUGGGGAGCAAAACAGGAUUAGAUACC